UGGUUCCAGCAUCGAUGAAGAACGCAGCGAAAUGCGAUAAAUAAUGUGAAUUGCAGAAUUCAGUGAAUCAUCGAGUCUUUGAACGCACAUUGCGCCCCUCGGUAUUCCGGGGGGCAUGCCUGUUCGAGCGUCAUUACACCCUUCAAGCGUAGCUUGGUAUUGGGCCCUCGCCCCCGUGGCGUGCCCGAAAAGCAGUGGCGGUCCGGUGCGACUUCGAGCGUAUUUGAAAUCUCUCGCUUUGAAAGUCGUCGCCGCGACUGGCCAGACAACCCCCAAUUUGCUUCUGUUAAUUGACUUCGGAUCAGGUAGGGAUACCCGCUGA
rnacentral:misc_RNA from 1 species